rnacentral:tRNA from 1 species
ACGAGUGUGCCGAAAAGGUAGCCGGGUGACUCUUAGGCAGUCACGAUUGAAAUAAUCGUAAGAGUUCAAAUCUCUUUGCUCGUA